GACGAACGCUGUCGGCGUGCUUAACACAUGCAAGUCGAACGGAAAGGCCCUGCUUUUGUGGGGUGCUCGAGUGGCGAACGGGUGAGUAACACGUGAGUAACCUGCCCUUGACUUUGGGAUAACUUCAGGAAACUGGGGCUAAUACCGGAUAGGAGCUCCUGCUGCAUGGUGGGGGUUGGAAAGUUUCGGCGGUUGGGGAUGGACUCGCGGCUUAUCAGCUUGUUGGUGGGGUAGUGGCUUACCAAGGCUUUGACGGGUAGCCGGCCUGAGAGGGUGACCGGCCACAUUGGGACUGAGAUACGGCCCAGACUCCUACGGGAGGCAGCAGUGGGGAAUAUUGCACAAUGGGCGGAAGCCUGAUGCAGCAACGCCGCGUGCGGGAUGACGGCCUUCGGGUUGUAAACCGCUUUCGCCUGUGACGAAGCGUGAGUGACGGUAAUGGGUAAAGAAGCACCGGCUAACUACGUGCCAGCAGCCGCGGUGAUACGUAGGGUGCGAGCGUUGUCCGGAUUUAUUGGGCGUAAAGGGCUCGUAGGUGGUUGAUCGCGUCGGAAGUGUAAUCUUGGGGCUUAACCCUGAGCGUGCUUUCGAUACGGGUUGACUUGAGGAAGGUAGGGGAGAAUGGAAUUCCUGGUGGAGCGGUGGAAUGCGCAGAUAUCAGGAGGAACACCAGUGGCGAAGGCGGUUCUCUGGGCCUUUCCCUGACGCUGAGGAGCGAAAGCGUGGGGAGCGAACAGGCUUAGAUACCCUGGUAGUCCACGCUGUAAACGGUGGGUACUAGGUGUGGGGUCCAUUCCACGGGUUCCGUGCCGUAGCUAACGCUUUAAGUACCCCGCCUGGGGAGUACGGCCGCAAGGCUAAAACUCAAAGGAAUUGACGGGGCCCCGCACAAGCGGCGGAGCAUGCGGAUUAAUUCGAUGCAACGCGUAGAACCUUACCUGGGUUUGACAUGGAUCGGGAGUGCUCAGAGAUGGGUGUGCCUCUUUUGGGGUCGGUUCACAGGUGGUGCAUGCCUGUCGUCAGCUCGUGUCGUGAGAUGUUGGGUUAAGUCCCGCAACGAGCGCAACCCUUGUUCACUGUUGCCAGCACGUUAUGGUGGGGACUCAGUGGAGACCGCCGGGGUCAACUCGGAGGAAGGUGGGGAUGACGUCAAGUCAUCAUGCCCCUUAUGUCCAGGGCUUCACGCAUGCUACAAUGGCUGGUACAGAGAGUGGCGAGCCUGUGAGGGUGAGCGAAUCUCGGAAAGCCGGUCUCAGUUCGGAUUGGGGUCUGCAACUCGACCUCAUGAAGUCGGAGUCGCUAGUAAUCGCAGAUCAGCAACGCUGCGGUGAAUACGUUCCCGGG
rnacentral:rRNA from 1 species